CAUCCUGUUAAGUCAGGCAACGAGCGAGACCCACGCCCACAGUUGCCAGCGUACUCUCUGGAGUGACGGGUACACUGUGGGACCGCCGCUGCUAAAGCGGAGGAAGGAAUGGGCAACGGUAGGUCAGUAUGCCCCGAAUAUCCCGGGCUACACGCGAGCUACAAUGGUUGGUACAAUGGGUAUCUACCCCGAAAGGGGACGGGAAUCUCCUAAAACCAAUCUUAGUUCGGAUUGAGGGCUGCAACUCGCCCUCAUGGAGCUGGAAUCCGUAGUAAUCGCGUUUCAACAGAACGCGGUGAAUACGUCCCUGCUCCUU
rnacentral:rRNA from 1 species